UACGUAGGGGGCAAGCGUUGUCCGGAUUUAUUGGGCGUAAAGAGCGUGUAGGCGGCUAGAUAGGUCCGUUGUGAAAACUCGAGGCUCAACCUCGAGACGCCGGUGGAAACCAUCAGACUAGAGUCCGGAAGAGGAGAGUGGAAUUCCUGGUGUAGCGGUGAAAUGCGCAGAUAUCAGGAAGAACACCCGUGGCUAAGGCGGCUCACUGGCCCGGUUCUGACGCUGAGGUGCGAAAGCGUGGGGAGCAAACAGG
rnacentral:rRNA from 1 species